UACGGAGGGUGCGAGCGUUGUCCGGAAUCACUGGGCGUAAAGGCGCGUAGGCGGCGCGGAUAGUCGGCGGUGAAAGCCCGGAGCUCAACUCCGGGUCGGCCGUCGAUACUUCCGGGCUUGAGCACUGUAGAGGCAGAUGGAAUUCCGGGUGUAGCGGGUGGAAUGCGUAGAGAUCCGGAAGAACACCGGUGGCGAAGGCGGUCUGCUGGGCAGUUGCUGACGC
rnacentral:rRNA from 1 species